UACAGAGGUCCCGAGCGUUGUUCGGAUUCACUGGGCGUAAAGGGUGCGUAGGUGGCGAGGUAAGUCGGAUGUGAAAGCUCGGAGCUCAACUCCGAAAUGGCAUUGGAAACUACCUUGCUCGAGGGUUGGAGGGGGACUGGAAUACUUGGUGUAGCAGUGAAAUGCGUAGAUAUCAAGUGGAACACCAGUGGCGAAGGCGAGUCCCUGGACAACUCCUGACACUGAGGCACGAAAGCUAGGGGAGCAAACAGG
rnacentral:rRNA from 1 species